rnacentral:rRNA from 1 species
AAAUUGAAGAGUUUGAUCAUGGCUCAGAUUGAACGCUGGCGGCAGGCCUAACACAUGCAAGUCGAACGGUAACAGGAAGCAGCUUGCUGCUUUGCUGACGAGUGGCGGACGGGUGAGUAAUGUCUGGGAAACUGCCUGAUGGAGGGGGAUAACUACUGGAAACGGUGGCUAAUACCGCAUAAUGUCGCAAGACCAAAGAGGGGGACCUUCGGGCCUCUUGCC